rnacentral:rRNA from 1 species
UACGUAGGGUGCGAGCGUUGCCCGGAUUUAUUGGGCGUAAAGGGCGCGUAGGCGGCCACGCACGUCCGUUGUGAAAUCGCCCGGCUCAACUGGGCGGGGUCAGCGGAUACGGUGUGGCUCGAGCAAGCUAGGGGGCAAUGGAAUUCCCGGUGUAGUGGUGGAAUGCGUAGAUAUCGGGGAGGAACACCAGUGGCGAAGGCGGUUGCCUGGAGCUUUGCUGACGCUGAUGCGCGAAAGCGUGGGGA